CAAAAUUUAACAUAAUUAAUGUGUCUCACUUACAUUGAGAAAAUAGUUAUAUAUUAUAAUUAGUUUUGA
rnacentral:tRNA from 1 species